CGAUAGUUGAACAGUGUCCGAUGCAUUUAGUUGAUGACAAGUCGGUCAUCCAUUGUCCGAUUCUUUGUUGGGCGCAUGCGUCGCGAUGCGCGAUAAACGAUGGUAAGCCGAAUACCCUUCGAUCGAUCGUGAUCUGGUCGGUAUGUCGCAAACGCGACGUUGGUCGUGUUGGCAUUUUGCCUUUCUUGGCCGGAGCCAAGUCGGCAAUUUAGCCAGUCGCCUUGCUCGGGAGCUGGCUGUGGAAGGGGCGCAGUUUCAACUUAAGGGGGUUUCAUCACCAUCGCCAGCCUUCCACCAACGUAGAUAUGUCGGUUGUCGUAAGAGUCCGACGCGCCAUCAGCGAUUGGGCCA
rnacentral:lncRNA from 1 species